rnacentral:rRNA from 1 species
AUUCGACCUCAAAUCAGGUAGGACUACCCCGCUGAACUUUAAGCAUAUCAAUAAGCGGAGGAA